CGAACGCUGGCGGCGUGCUUAACACAUGCAAGUCGAACGGGAUCCAUUAGCGCUUUUGUGUUUUUGGUGAGAGUGGCGAACGGGUGAGUAACACGUGAGUAACCUGCCCUUUUCUUUGGGAUAAGCCUGGGAAACUGGGUCUAAUACUGGAUGUUCCGGCUUCCUCGCAUGGGGUUGUUGGGAAAGGUUUUUUCUGGAUUGGGAUGGGCUCGCGGCUUAUCAGCUUGUUGGUGGGGUGAUGGCUUACCAAGGCUUUGACGGGUAGCCGGCCUGAGAGGGUGGUCGGUCACACUGGGACUGAGAUACGGCCCAGACUCCUACGGGAGGCAGCAGUGGGGGAUAUUGCACAAUGGACGAAAGUCUGAUGCAGCGACGUCGUGUGGGGGAUGAAGGCCUUCGGGUUGUAAACUCCUUUCGCCCGCGGAAAAGGCAGGGUUUUGGCCUUGUUGAUGGUAGUGGGUAAAGAAGCGCCGGCUAACUACGUGCCAGCAGCCGCGGUAAUACGUAGGGCGCGAGCGUUGUCCGGAAUUAUUGGGCGUAAAGGGCUCGUAGGCGGUUUGUCGCGUCUAGCGUUUAAGGCUCGGGCUUAACCCGGGUUUGCGUUGGGUACGGGCAGGCUUGAGUGCGGUAGGGGUAACUGGAAUUCCUGGUGUAGCGGUGGAAUGCGCAGAUAUCAGGAGGAACACCGGUGGCGAAGGCGGGUUACUGGGCCCGUUACUGACGCUGAGGAGCGAGAGCGUGGGGAGCGAACAGGAUUAGAUACCCUGGUAGUCCAUGCUGUAAACGUUGGGCACUAGGUGUGG
rnacentral:rRNA from 1 species